CCAUAGUCUCCCAGUAUCCCCUAGUCUCUCAGUGUCUGUGUCCCUAGUGUCUUAGUCUCCCCAAAUGUUUCAGUGUCCCCAUGUCUCCCAGUGUCUGUGUUCCUAGUGUCUCAGCAUGCCUGGUGUCCCCAUGUCUCCCAGUGUCCCUAUAUGUCCCAGUGUCCCCAUGUCUAUGUCCACAACUGUCCCCAUGUCUCCCAGUGUCCCCUAGUCUCCCAGUGUCCCCAAGUGUCUGUCUCCCAGUGUCCCCUAGUCUCCCAGUGUCUGUGUUCCCAUGUCUCUGUGUCCCUAGAGUCUUAGUGUCCCCAUUUCUCCCAGUUUCCCUAAAUGUCUCAGUGUCCCCAUGUCUCUGUGUCCCCGGGUCUCUCAGUGUCCCCAGUAUCCUUGUGACAUGGGGACACACUGGGACAUUGGGAGAAAUGGGGACACAGACACUGGGAGACUAGGGGACUGGGUGACAUGGGGACACUGUGAUACAUAGGGACACUGAGACACUAGGUGACUUGUGAGACUGAGACACUGGGAGCAAUCCAUCUAUACAGCAGAAUCAAACUGUGAAUAGUUUGUUGGUGAUUUUACAGAAUUUUCUCUGCUGUCACUCCUUGUGAUUUACAUCAUGUGAUGUCACGCAUAACUAAUUAAUUAUACAAAUGAUUAAGGCUGGUAUUUUUUUCCAAGAAAGGUGGCAACCUUAACUACUCUUCACAUAUUCUUGCCUAAAGGAGCACUAUAGGGUCAGUAACACAAUCAUGUAUU